GCCCCACAGCUAUUCGGAACUCCACAAAUAAAGUGCCUGGAAGGGCACAGAGCACAAAACCUGUAAAAGCAACCCACAAUGAAGUGUACUACAAGAGAACUGGGAAUGGGAGACAAAGACUCAUUAACUCAAGUUGAAGAAAGCGAGCUAUGUGGAAGAGGAAGGCCUUGCACAGGGCAUUUCCAAUGGAGAGGGAGGCCAGUUCCCUGCUGCUCAUCGUGCACUGAGGAGAGGCCAUGUGCUGGGUAGGCCCUGGGCUUCCUCCUGCUCCUGGGGCAGCCAGUGCAGGAGAUCACCACCCCCUGGAGCCAGCUCCAAGCACAGAGAGCCGUGGGUGGACAAAGGAGAGAGGCCUGUCACAGCCAGAAGUCACCGCCAGCCCUUGCCUCCUUGGCACGGGAGUGGGCUCCAUCACAGGCUGCUCCAGGCCCCAGUGCCGUGCUGGGAUCCAAAGCUGCAAAGCAUGUGGGGAAAGUUAUCGACAGAAGGGGCCGGUGGCAAGGCGAGAGGUAGCCUGGCAGCCCUGGGGCACCAAUUCCUCUGGUCACGGCCUAACCAAGCACCAAGGAGGGCAGCAGAGGCCCCUUUUAUUCCGUUAGUACAGGAAGAUGGGCCUCAUUUAGGGCUCUGUGUAAGUACUCCCCUCAGCACCUGAGACAGAGGAAAAGAGCAGUAGCUUCUCUCAUACGUUUCCAAAAAUUUUCAUUUCCAUUGAGAAGCAGGCUGAAAAUUACCAUGACUUAUGUGUUGUUGCAAAUGUUUUAGUGGAAGUCAGCUAUUUUUUCCCAAGCAAUUAAAAAGAUAAAAUUCUUCUAAGUACUAUGGAAACAACUUCCUGCAGGCACUCCCUACAUACACUGUUAGGAAAACUGCUUUUCUCCACAGUUAUAGCUGGCUAAUCAUCCUGUGCCAGUUAACUUAUUUCUCUUCCACAUACACAUACUUAUUUUCUUGGAGAAAAUAUUGUGAUCCUUUAUAUUCUCUCAGUAUAAUAGCCAUUCCUAUCAAUGGAUGAGCUACAAUUGCUACCAUUCAGGAAGACAGGAAUGCAAAUGAGGAAUACCAAUUAACCUCUUUACAAUUAAAAAUAUCUCUAUCUAUUACAGCACCCAUUA